ensembl:lncRNA
UGUGAUUUUAUAUCCAGCUAACAAGUCACUUUCAUGGGUCGGGACAUCAUCUGGAGUCUAUGAAUGCGUAAGAACCAACAGUUACUGUAUAUAUGCUUCACAUACUCUCAGCUCUGGAUCAUGCUGCCUGGUAACUGGUCAGUGGGCUCAUGAGUGGGGACAGCUACUCUACUCAUGUCAUCAAUUUGAUUUCUCAGUGUCUGAGAGCUUGGUAGUCUCAUUUGGAACAGCAAUCAGCUGUGCACAUCGAUCUUUAGCACCUUGUAUUCAAUUUUCAUGCAGCUGUUUACAGCAUGGAGCAAAGAAACUUUCUGACAAAUGGAGGUUUAACAGCAAAUAUUCAUUUCGGAAGCGUUGUACUGCAACCAUUAAUAAACUGAGUCCCACAGCGAGGGACUCACAGGAGAGAACAAGAGGAGGAAAAGACUGGGAAAUAGGAAAAGACACCAAGGAUAAUAAAAGACACACAGAUCAGCAAAGCUGUGAUGUGAUGACCACACCUGGAGCUUUCACAUCCCCCAGUCUCUGCGACAAUGACAGCCGUCUCCUUUCUUUGGUUCAGUUUGCGGUUGCUCAACAGUUCAUAAAAAUCAUUUUGGACAACAGAACAUUCAACAAUCCAAAACAGAACUGUUAAAAACCCAGGACUUAAUUUUCAGAUUACAUAUACAAAGCAAGUAAUUAAAUUUCUAAAAACUAAAGUUGCCGUAGAUGGAAAACAGCACAUGUG